rnacentral:rRNA from 1 species
AGACCCGAAACCCGGUGAUCUAGCCAUGGGCAGGUUGAAGGUUGGGUAACACUAACUGGAGGACCGAACCGACUAAUGUUGAAAAAUUAGCGGAUGACCUGUGGCUGGGGGUGAAAGGCCAAUCAAACCGGGAGAUAGCUGGUUCUCCCCGAAAGCUAUUUAGGUAGCGCCUCGUGAACUCAUCUCCGGGGGUAGAGCACUGUUUCGGCUAGGGGGCCAUCCCGGCUUACCAACCCGAUGCAAACUGCGAAUACCGGAGAAUGUUAUCACGGGAGACACACGGCGGGUGCUAACGUCCGUCGUGAAGAGGGAAACAACCCAGACCGCCAGCUAAGGUCCCAAAGUCAUGGUUAAGUGGGAAACGAUGUGGGAAGGCCCAGACAGCCAGGAUGUUGGCUUAGAAGCAGCCAUCAUUUAAAGAAAGCGUAAUAGCUCACUGGUCGAGUCGGCCUGCGCGGAAGAUGUAACGGGGCUAAACCAUGCACCGAAGCUGCGGCAGCGACGCUGAUGCGUUGUUGGGUAGGGGAGCGUUCUGUAAGCCUG